rnacentral:misc_RNA from 1 species
AGCGCUCACGCGACAACGUCUCAGUUUACUGCCUCGCAGCCGUCUUGCGAGACGUUCGGGUCGCACUCCGCCUUGCAGGGAAGCACUGAAUUGCAGCCGCAGCAGCCGCAGUCCCCGUCAUCGAAGAGAGGGCCGGUGGGCAGCAGCACCGAUAGCACCACGUGCACGGUGCCGGCGAGUGACGAUAAUGCUCUCGGCUACGCCUUGAGCGACGGGUGCUAUGUGCCCCUCUGGGAAGAGGUAGAGUCGCCGCCAUCGCUGCGGCCACUUCCUCAGCCUCUCGCCGUUUUGCGUGACACACAGUCGCCCACCGGCUCACGCAGCGAUCCGAACGACAAAGCCGGCCCCUCGUCCUUGUCAACUGUUGACGACCGGAUGCUCUUCUCGUCACAGCGACAAGGACCUGGCUGUGUCCCUGAUCGUCAUCGGCGUCAUUCGCAGGCGUUGGAGACUCCGAAGGAUGUAGAUCUCCAGCCAUGGAGGAUAACUUCUACAAUGACGCAGCACCAGAAACCGAGCGACACCAGCAGCAGCAGCAGCAGCAAUACCCGGGAAACUGAGGCGUCCCGCAAGAACAGCGGCGUCACGGCACCUCCGCAGUUGUUGCGCUUGGAAGGAAGCGGGCGUGUUUCGCCGCGCCCCAGGGAGCCAAGCUCAAUUCCUCUGGCGGCAUCGGCACGCCAGCCGACCGGUGGGCGGCUUGAACCUCUGGGGCGCGCCGUCAGUUGCGACUCCGCUCCGGCAGCGCCGGCAUCGUCGUACCCGCUACGAGUGGGAACGAGUAAGACGCUUGAUACCACUUCCUUCGACAGGAUAGUGUUUACACCUGCGGCAUCGGCGCCGACGUACUUUUGCGACACCAGCACCGAAAGCGGCGCCGGCACAGCGUCCUUCUUCCUGCGCGAACCAGUGCUCGCGAAGCCAUCCUCGUUGAAUGUCGGGCAAAACGUCGCCAGCGGUGGGUCUCCCCGUGCCGCGUGGCCUCUAUCGUGGAGGGGCGCGCCCGGCGAUUGCGGACGCUCCACCGGCGACGCUCCACACGCGGAUCAGGCGCUGAGGAGUGGUGAGCCCAUGGCGCAGGUUUGCCGGUCUUCUUCGGCAACCCGUCAAAGUUCUUCUUCCGUAGCAAGCGAUCGAGGCUUGCUGUCUCCGAUGCGAGUCUCACCGCAAGGGCCUGGCAUGCCGGCUGCUGGUGCUGCUCACCACGCUACAGCAGCAGAGGCGGCGAAGUCUUCUCGAUCCACACGCUCGUGUCGCGCAUCAAGAACGUCGACAAUUUCGACUACGGCUUGCAGGCGCUCGGCUUUCCUGUCGAGGACUGCCGCCGCGUCUCGAAGGCAUCCGCAGGGAUGCGAGGGGAGCGUAGUAGCGGCGACUUUGGCAGCUAUCUCAUGGUGGCGUCUAACAGGUCUGGCGUCAAAGAUCAGGGCGGCCACAGCCCUCGCAACCCCGCUGCCAAGACUGGUUCCACCGCAGGAGGCGGCGGCAGCUUUGCCGGCGCAUCGUCGCUCCUGCCGCUCACACGCAGACAAUCUAAGCUGCCGCUGACCUCGUCCGGCGUGCGCGCCGCCUUCCCUUCAGCAUCUUUUGGCCUCUCUGGUGUGCCGCCUCACUCGAGCAAGAGCGCCAGCGCGGCAGCUUCGUCCUCAACUGCGCAGACCUCCAUGUCGGCCAGCUUGUCGAAGACCCUUUCGAGAACGAUGGCCCCGAUGGCCAUUGGGACUGAGCGGCCGGUGUCAACCGGUGACGGUCUCUUGUCGCCUGCCGCGCCUGGUGCACUUCGAACUUCUGCUGGCGCGGCCGCAGCGCGUCCGCAACUAGGAGGCGCCAACGAGCCAAGCUUCACCACUAGCGUUAUCCCCGCAGCAGCGGUUGCGACUCCGCCGAGUGAGUCCCGCAGUAGCAUUGGCAGCAGUGACGCUCUCGUGUCAGCAUCUUUUCGCUCCAUCGUCCUGCAGUCGCGUCGUCUGCCAUACAAACUUGAUGUCGUGUACGGAGAUCUCGCGCACAGCUCGAGUAACUUCACCGGCAAUAACUCACCAUGCAGAAGCUCUGCACAUGGCAGCUCUUUCAAAGGCCCUGUGGCCGGUCGCGGCGGAGGUGUUGCCACCGGGUUCAGCUCUACAGCGAAGUCGUGGAGUGCGACGGAUCAGUCUGAGAGGGGCGACGAUGGAGGCGCACUCGCUGUUGUCGAGGGUGAGGAGAGCGACCCGCUGUCUGCAGCGCGCCGGAUGCCCGGCUCGCUCGGGUGGACCUUUGGUGAGGACAAUUUUCAGGACUAUGAGGCAUUUGUGUCACUGGCGGUGCCGCCGAGGAGCGGCAGCGGCAGCGGCAGCAGCAGCUCCAGCGACGGCAGCCUCUCCUUUGGUGAGUCGGACCUGGGUCUUACUCUCGAGGAGGGUACACCCACGCCGCGGCAACUACGACGCCAAGGCGACGGCCUCGGUGGUGGCGGCAGUUUCACCCUCGAGGCACCGGCUGAUGGUGGUGUGCCGCUAGCAAAGGGAACGGGCAGGCGCAGUGGGCGAGACCGCGUCUGGGCAAGCGGCGAUUAUGGUAGCACUCCAGAGGGACGCCACCUGCCACGUCGCUCCCGCGACACCUUCUUCCCCUUCGAAGACGGCAGCGUCAACUGCUCCCGCGGCUUCAGCAGCCUCGCGCUGUCGUCGUUUCUGCGGGAUGCGGGGCCCACCAACCUCAAGGGAAUGGUGUGGGACUCCUCCUCCUCCGUGGCGCCGUCAAACCCCGUCAACUCGUCUGCUCAGGACACCUCUUCGCCGCCGUCGACGUCGGGCAGGACAGCCGUGAUGGCGCGCGAGAAGGGCCGGAUGGGUGGCCUCUCGCACCCUUCUCUCUUCCAGGGCAUAAGUAGCACAACCGCCGGAACGCAAACGGUGCCGCUCGCCAUCGUCUCCGCUACCAGUUUUGCUGUCCACACCUCCACAGAUCCCCUUGAGGUUCCCGCCCAGAGUUCACCGCUGACGAUUCGCGGCGGUGCAUCCACGAGCACGACCUUCGAGGCCGUGACGGGCGCGGCGAGGUCGAACCACCAAGUACCGCGGCCACCGAUGAACGUGGGAUCAGCAGCCGGUUUGGCACACCAGAACAAGGUGGGACAAGUCGCCGCGAGUGGGCCAGACGGCGUCAGCAGCAGCAACGGGACCGCCGAGGCGCCAGCGGAGCUCGUCCGCGCCGGUGUACUGCGAUGGUCAAAACCCCUUCAAGCUGCGCGUAUGAACCGCAACACUGUGUCCCCAUCGCACGGGGCGACGACUGCACGCUCCGCCCGUCGCACGCAGGAUGAGCUUCCGGCCUCGGAGCUGGAGUUGCCGAGGCCGAAGGAAUGGCUCGACGUGCGGGGGUUGACCGUGCUUGAGUGCUGUGGAGCAGCGGCAACGAACACGCCUGCGACAGCGCGGGUUUUCGCGGUAGAUGGUGGCUACACAGUGCGCGUAGUCCAGGGUAACUUGGUCGGCGACUGCAAGACGGACGAGUGCGUCCAGCGGUGCGCUGCUGCUAUGGCUGCCGCCAACGAGGCGAACGCCCCCGACAAGGCCAGCGUCGCCGCAUCGUCGCCGCCGCUUCCUUCCCUGCUGAUUGACACGGCUGUUACGCGCUUCAUCGAGGGUGGCGAAAAUGCGAUGGUGAUAGUCAUGGACACAGUGAAUGACUUUGUGCAGCGACGGCGGGCUGCGGCGGCGGCAGCAGCCGUAAGUUUACAGGACAGCAUGCGUGGCGGAGGUGGCUCGUCACCCUCGUCUUCGCUCUCUCCUCCGGCGCCGUCAACUCACGCGGAAGCGUUCCCAACAGCGAGCGUGGCACGGGCAAUGUGCAUGCGCGUCGUCGAGAGCUUUCUUUCCUGCAAGGGCGUGCGAGCCAAGACACACCCGGACUGUGUGGCUGACUUGAAGGUGGCUGUUGCGCUGGUGCCGGUCAGCCUGCAGCUGAACUCUCCGCCGACACCGAGGCCUACGUCGACGCCGACAGGGCGCGCCAGCUCGCCUGCGGAGAUUUCUCCUUACGCCGGUGAGAGAGGCGUCUUCUACGACGUGAUCUACACUGCCUGCACUCGCGACACCUGCUGUCGCCCACUCGAAGUGGCCACGUCGCCGAUCUUCGGCGCAUGUCUGAAUGAGUGCCAGUGGCACGUGGUUGAGGACGAAUCGGACAUUGCUGUCGUCUUCGAGCUGGCGCAGAGCCUCGCGGGGGCCGCUCGCGGGCGGCAGCAGCAAUGCCAGGGCUUCUUGUACAUCCAAUUCCUCCAUCAGUGCUUCAUUCCGGAUGUGGCUGCCGCCCGCGGUGCGGAUGCGGCGACGUCGCCAGUGUGCACGCAGCGGCGAGACAGUCGGCACGGCGAUAUAGUCGUUUCCUCCUUUACCAUCACCACCUCUCCCUAUUCAAGCGUGGUCGAGUCCAUUCUUGAUCAGCGCGCCGACACGCCGUGGCCACUUCUGCGUUACGCGCUGGGGAAAGGGCCCUGCACCGUGCUGGCGGUGGUGAACGUGCACGAGGAGGACGAAGAAGCGGCAUACCCGUUGAGCAUUCUACAGCGGCUAAAGUCAAUGCAGCACCCGCGACCGCGGUGCGGCAGCAUACGCUCCUAUAUCGCUGAGCAGCGUAACAAGAUCUCAGACCUCAAGUGGCGCUUGGCCAACAUAACAGAGACUCGGUCAAAAACGCAGGCCACUAUCAAGCGGCUGACGGUGCUCAUCUCGAAGCUCGAGUGCGGCGCGAAGGAUGCCGAGGAUUUCUUGUCGGACCCCAAGUCUGUUCACGUGCCAGUAUACGUAGACGCGCGAAAGGCAGUCCCUGAGGUCGGUGGCGCGGACCCACUUGUCCACACUUUCUCCCCGACCAGGGAGGCGGCACCGACGUGCGAGGCGCCUCAAGUGCUGGCUCUGGUGCAGCAUUACUCUCCAGUCACCGGCUUCGCCUCGUACUCACCCAGAACCGUAUCGUCUCAGCCCAAGGAAACGACGGCGCGGUGGCUCGCCGCUACGGCGCGAACGUCACCGAUAGACUCGACCGCGCCACGCACGGUGUCGCUGACGGCGCAGCUGUCUUUAACACACUCCACUCGUGUCCAGGUAGGCGAGAUCACUUCGCUUAGUGAGGCCAACACCUCGGAGCUGGGCUGGCAGCGGUGCGCGACGUGGCGCCGCCUCGGCGAGCGCUUUCGCAGCGGCUUCAAUGCCACCGUGGCUGUGGUGCAGGAGUCCGCCGGGGAGAACCGCGCGUGGUCGUUGCGGGUGGUACUCGAACUGGUCCGCAGUGUUCUCAAGGACUCGUGGGGACGCGUCUCGAACACGCCCGCCAAAGCUGGCGAUGAUGACCAGCCGCGGUUUUCCUCGCGUCAGGUGAUGCGCGUCGCCGCGUCCGUCUACCACUGCAGCGACUCGGCUGUCGCCGAUCUGCUCCGCACCUCCAGUACGAGUCGCAUAGCCACUGGUACCUCCGUCCUCGGCACGGUGUCUUUUGCACCGGCGAAGAUGGCCGUGCGGCCGCUCGCCGGCGCGUGCGCACCAGUGAAUGUGUCAAGCAAACGGAUCGCUUCGCCAGGGGAGCUGGAGACGCUCUUGCGCAGGGCGGUCGAGCGCCUGCGUGCUGCGCAGGCUGCCGCAGAAGAUGCAGCGUCGCACGAUGGCGUGCAGGACGCACUCACGCGGCAGUGCCUGCUGGCGCCGGGGUACACCGUUAUGAGCAUCGAGCUUACGCAGCAGGUGACAGGGGCUCGCCGCCGCUCUCACGCGAGCAUUGAUGCGGAGCACUCUCUCAACGACAGCGAGGAUGUGUACGUGAGCACUCUGACGGUUGUAAACCUUGGCGGCCACUACGCGUUGCUGUCGGAGGCAAUCAGGGCAGACACCGCGGCGGGCGACGAGCACAAGGACGACCCUAUCGCACCUUAUGCGAGGAGGACUGCAGCGACGAUACCUGCAACAUCUAGUGGCGCGGCGCCGAUGACAGCUAGGGCCCUGCUCGCGCGCCUCUUCGUGCACCGUCGCCACAUGAUCGUGUGCGCUGUGGCCUUGCCUGCUGUUCCGACGCCUGAGGCGGCCGAUCAGUUGCUGUGCACUGUGAGAGACUUCGUGAAACAUGUGGCGAGCCAAGGCGCAACGGGGGCGACGUCGCUCGGAAGCGUGCGGCACUUCAUUGCUCACCUGAGAGAUGUGCUGCGCGUAGCAGAGCACAGACAAGGUGGUGUGAGAUACUCACUCGUUAGCAUCCGCGACGCGGUGAAGCGCGCCUUUGCCGUCUUGCGCGACCCGCGCAGCGUCGCCUUUACCUUCUACCCAUUUACGCAGGAAGAUGCGGAGGCACUGACGCUGCCUGCGUCACCGCUGCUCGUCGACCGCGCUGCAGGUGAAUCGGUAUCUGUGAGGGAGUACGGGUCAUCGGAUACCCUCACCAGUGGCACCGUGCCCACCAUCAGCGGCGGUGGCGGUCGCAGGGCGCCGACGUUGUCGACGGCAGCGACGGAAAACGAAGGGCCGCGCGUGCCGCGUGCAGCCGCGCGGAGGGCGACGCCAAUGGAAGCUACGUGCCCUAACGGUGAAGCGCACGGAGCCUUCGACUGCCGUGCCUUCGGCACCGCGAUGAGUGCGCGCACCGCGCUCCUGGGAAACCCGGCCACCUACUACGGCAUUUGCUAUGACCGCAAGGAGGAUCCUCCGCUGCUGUGCCGCGACGUGGCCAUGUCGCUCUGCCGAUCAGCGCCGCGGAGUCGGCUAUGCGCCCCAACCACCGCCACCCCAGUGACAACGACGGCGCGCACCAAGGUGCAGCACCCCAGCGACAUCAGGGAGAAAGACGAGGACAAGCAGGUGACGGUGCCGAGUGUGGUGGUGCUCAACGCGGCCACCACCAGCUCGUAUGUGUGCCGACGCGGCACAUGGGUAAGCGUCCCCGUCCCCUCCACGCUGCCCCCGGUGCCAGCAGAGCCACAGUACUUCUCAUUCGGCGCCGAUGAGCUAGUCCGCAUCAAGCCCACGUCGAUUGGCAUGAAGAGCUCACGACUGAUGCGAGCCGUGUCGUGUGUGUCGCGUGGGCGUACGGCAGCGCUGCUCCUAUCGGACACGGAGUCGUGUGAGGCGACGUCAUCGAUUGCGUGGCUGACGCUGCGCACCGUGAUAGGUGGCAUCUUCCAGUCGCUCAGUCUGAAGGAGGUGGAAGGGGUGCAGCACUGCGCGACAAUGCGAGCCUUCCUGAUUGAGCAGGACAGCAAGGACGUGUUUGCCGACCUGCUGGCGCCGAACCUGACCUCCGUGCACCCGAGACAGCCGCUGACCCGACUCGAUUACUCACCCUUCUGCGGCCCCGUCCCGUCAGAGACGACCGCCGUGCCUGUGAAGGAUUUGCGAGACGUGAACGUGGCGCUCACCUCUGUGCUGCUUGGUGCUCGCCUGGCCCAUGAGUCGGCCACUUUAACGGCUGCGGAGCAGCUGCAGGGCUGCAUCGUUCUUCAUCUCACGUUCCACCAGUACGUUCCGGCAACAGCCGGCGUACUCGCCGACGUAGUAGUGUCGUCGCUGUGGUGUGUGCACAUGGGAUCCAGCGUCGGGUGGAUGGAGGCGUUGUACAAGGCACCGAGCACCGCCACCGGCGCGUUGCUGCGCUACUGGUUGGGGGGCCCCUGCUACACCACCGCCAUCGCAGGAUUUUCCCGGUAUGUGGGGGUCCCUGCAGCGACCUGGCGUGCCCUCAUCGACACCCAACGGCGUAUGAGCGUGAUUGUGCUGCGGAUGCCGCGCUUUGGCAGCGUCCGUGCCUACAUGGACUACCUCAGCGAGACUGUGGCAAGGUGCAGGAAAAAGGCACCAGCGGCAGCCAAGUUGUGUGGUCAGCUCGGAAGUGCUGUGACCGUCACGGGCACUUCAAGCGUACUCGCCGCCGCGUCGCCGCGUCAGAAGUGGAAGUGCGACGACUCACCGCAGAUGGUGGCCGGCGUAGCGGACGCGGUGGCGCGAGUGAUGGUGUUGCUAAAGGAGGCACAGCACAUGAUUGACCGUAGUAGCGAUGACGGCAUCGCUCCAACGAAGCAGCUAGGAUUACUGGCGCAUGACGAGAAAAUGUUUGCUGCCUUAGACACGGUUUGAGGAGACGGUGCGCGUGUGUGUGUGGGGGGGAUGUGGUGGUAGAGGUGACUGUCUGAAGACAAGAUGGCGGGUGUAGUCCUUUACGCGCUAUCUUCCUUUGUCUUUCUCUACGUUUUUAUUUUUCGCGCUUCGCUUACUAUUGCUCGGGAGCGUGUACGCUUGGCGGUAGAUGUAUGAGCGCAGCUGACGCUGCUGAUGGGUGUGCUUUUCUUCCUUGCUUUGUGUUGGCCUUUCGUCUCAACAGUCGACGUGUAAUCCACCUGUACACGGCAUUCUCUGCCAUCAGAUCUGCAUGCCUUGCAAUGCCCACUGCUACGACUACUACUACGAACCGUCGAUUCAGUG